UUCCGGUUGAUCCCGCCGGAGGCCACUGCUAUCGGGGUUCGACUAAGCCAUGCGAGUCGUAUGUUCCCCUUCGGGGGAGCAUGGCGCACUGCUCAGUAACACGUGGAUAACCUACCCUUGGGACAGGGAUAACCCCGGGAAACUGGGGAUAAUACCUGAUAGACCAUGGAGGCUGGAAGGCGCCAUGGUUCAAAGGGGCAACCGCCCGCCCAAGGAUGGGUCUGCGGCCUAUCAGGUUGUAGUGGGUGUAACGCACCUACUAGCCUACGACGGGUACGGGCUGUGGGAGCAGGAGCCCGGAGAUGGAUUCUGAGACAUGAAUCCAGGCCCUACGGGGUGCAGCAGGCGCGAAAACUUUACAAUGCGGGAAACCGUGAUAAGGGAACCUCGAGUGCCGAUGCAUAGCAUCGGCUAUCCAGAUGCCUAAAAAGCAUCUGAUAGCAAGGGCCGGGCAAGACCGGUGCCAGCCGCCGCGGUAACACCGGCGGCUCGAGUGGUGGCCACUUUUAUUGGGUCUAAAGCGUCCGUAGCCGGCUUGGCAAGUCCCCUGGGAAAUCUGGCGGCUUAACCGUCAGGCGUCCAGAGGAUACUGCCAGGCUUGGGACCGGGAGAGGUGAGAGGUACCUCAGGGGUAGGGGUGAAAUCUUGUGAUCCCUGAGGGACCACCAGUGGCGAAGGCGUCUCACUAGAACGGGUCCGACGGUCAGGGACGAAAGCUGGGGGCACGAACCGGAUUAGAUACCCGGGUAGUCCCAGCCG
rnacentral:rRNA from 1 species